CCUGGUUGAUCUUGCCAGUAGUCAUAUGCUUGUCUCAAAGAUUAAGACAUGCAUGUGCAAGUAUGAACUAAUUCAAACUGUGAAACUGCGAAUGGCUCAUUAAAUCAGUUAUAGUUUGUUUGAUGGUACCUGCUACUCGGAUAACCGUGGUAAUUCUAGAGCUAAUACGUGCAACAUUCCCCGACUUCUGGAAGAGAUGCAUUUAUUAGAUAAAAGGUCAACGCGGGCUCGCCCCGUCGUUCUGAUGAUUCAUGAUAACUCGAUGGAUCGCACGACCCUCAUGCCGGCGACGCAUUAUUCAAAUUUCUGCCCUAUCAACUUUCGAUCUUAGGAUAGGGGCCUACCAUGGUGGUGACGGGUGACGGAGAAUUAGGGUUCGAUUCUGGAGAGGGAGCCUGAGAAACGGCUACCCCAUCCAAGGAAGGCAGCAGGCGCGCAAAUUAACCAAUCCUGACACGGGGAGGUAGUGACAAUAAAUAACAAUACCGGGCCUUUCGGGUCGGGUAAUUGGAAUGGUACAAUCUAAAUCCCUUAAGGAGGAUCCAUUAGAGGGCAAGUAUGGUACCAACAGCCGCGGUAAUUCCAGCUCCAAUAGCGUAUAUUUAAGUUGUUGCAGUUGAAAAGCUCGUAGUCGGACCUUGGGCCGGGCCGCUCGGCGAUGCACUCCUGGCCUUAACUGGCCGGGUCGUGCCUCCGGCGCCGUUACUUUGAAGAAAUUAGAGUGCUCAAAGCAAGCCCACGCUCUGGAUACAUUAGCAUGAGAUAACAUCAUAGGAUUCUGGUCCUAUUGUGUUGGCCUUCGGGAUCGGAGUAAUGAUUAAGAGGGACAGUCGGGGGCAUUCGUAUUUCAUAGUCAGAGGUAAAAUUCUUAUAUUUAUGAAAGACGAACCACUACGAAAGCAUUUGCCAAGGAUGUUUUAAUUGAUCAAGAACGAAAGUUGGGGGAUCGAAGACGAUCACAUACCGUCCUAGUCUCAACCAUAAACGAUGCCUACCAGGGAUCGGCAGAUGUUGCUUUUAGGACUCCGCCGGCACCUUAUGAGAAAUCAAAUUCUUUGGGUUCCGGGGGGAGUAUGGUCGCAAGGCUGAAACAUAAAGGAAUUGACGGAAGGGCACCACCAGGAGUUGAGCCUGCGGCAUAAUUUGAGUUAACAUGGGGAAACUUACCAGGUCCAGACAUAGCAAGGAUUGACAGACUGAUAGCUCUUUCUUGAUUCUAUGGGUGGUAGUGCAUGGCCAUUCUUAGUUGGUGGAGCGAUUUGUCUGGUUAAUUCCGAUAACGAACAAGACCUCAGCCUGCUAACUAGCUAUGCGGAGGAAUCCCUCCGCGGGCAGCUUCUUAAAGGGACUUUGGCCGUUUAGGCCACGGAAGUUUGAGGCAAUAACAGGUCUGUGAUGCCCUUAGAUGUUAUGGGCCGCACGCACGCUACACUGAUGUAUUCAACAAGUCUAUAGCCUUGGCCGAGAGGACCGGGUAAUCUAGUUAAAUUUCAUCGUGAUGGGGAUAGAUCAUUGCAAUUGUUGGUCUUCAACGAGGAAUUCUUAGUAAGCACGAGUUAUCAGCUCGCGUUGACUACGUCCCUGCCUUUUGUACACACCGCCCAUCGCUCCUACCGAUUGAAUGGUCUGGUGAAGUGUUCGGAUCCCGGCGACGGGGACGGUCUCGCCGCCCGUGACGUCCCAAGAAGUCCACUGACCCUUAUCAUUUAGAGGAAGGAGAAGUCGUAUCAAGGUUUCCGUAGGUGAACUUGCGAAAG
rnacentral:rRNA from 1 species